CAUAGCGACUAUCGUGGCAUAUCAAUAAGCGGAGGAAAAGAGGCUGUUACCUACGCUUAGGAUGUUGACGAGACUGUCGAUCUCAUACAUGACUAUCGUGGCAUAUCAAUAAGCGGAGGAAAAGAAACUAACUAGGAUUCCCUCAGUAACGGCGAGUGAAGCGGGAAGAGCUCAAAUUUGAAAUCUUCAAGGUUCUACCUUGACGAAUUGUAGUUUAAAGAAGUGUUUUCUGUUGGAGUUUUCGGUAAAAGUUCUUUGGAAUAGGACAUCAUAGAGGGUGAGAAUCCCGUAUUUGACCUUACUUUCCUACUAAGUGUGAUACACUUUCAAAGAGUCGGAUUGUUUGGGAAUGCAGUCCAAAAUGGGUGGUAAAUUUCAUCUAAAGCUAAAUAUUGGCGAGAGACCGAUAGCGAACAAGUACCGUGAGGGAAAGAUGAAAAGAACUUUGAAAAGAGAGUUAAACAGUACGUGAAAUUGUCAAAAGGGAAGCGUUUGACACCAGUGUUGUUUAGUUGAAAAUCAAUUCAAUAAUUUUUGAUUUUGAGUAGUAUUGACUUCAUCAGCUUGCUGCUUUCUUUUCCGAAAUUAUUGAAUGCACCUUUCAGUUAGCAAGUCAACAUCAAUUUCUUUUGUUGUAAAAGGGUAAGAGGAAGGUGGCUUACGCUUCGGCGUAAGUGUUUAUAGCCUUUUACCUCUGCAAUCGGAGAGAUUGAGGACAGCAGCGUAGACUCCUUCGGGGGUUAGAUACACUUGUGCUAAGCUAUAGCCUUGUAUAGACAACUUGUUGACUAUGCUCAGUCAUGUAGCUUACUCGCUUGUGCUAUUUUACCUACGCUUAGGAUGUUGACGAGACUGUCGAUCUC
rnacentral:rRNA from 1 species